rnacentral:rRNA from 1 species
GUACACAAAAAUGCACAUACUGUGAGCUCGAUGAGUAGGGCGGGACACGUGGUAUCCUGUCUGAAUAUGGGGGGACCAUCCUCCAAGGCUAAAUACUCCUGACUGACCGAUAGUGAACCAGUACCGUGAGGGAAAGGCGAAAAGAACCCCGGCGAGGGGAGUGAAAAAGAACCUGAAACCGUGUACGUACAAGCAGUGGGAGCCUCUUAAUGGGGUGACUGCGUACCUUUUGUAUAAUGGGUCAGCGACUUAUAUUCUGUAGCAAGGUUAACCGAAUAGGGGAGCCGAAGGGAAACCGAGUCUUAACUGGGCGUUAAGUUGCAGGGUAUAGACCCGAAACCCGGUGAUCUAGCCAUGGGCAGGUUGAAGGUUGGGUAACACUAACUGGAGGACCGAACCGACUAAUGUUGAAAAAUUAGCGGAUGACUUGUGGCUGGGGGUGAAAGGCCAAUCAAACCGGGAGAUAGCUGGUUCUCCCCGAAAGCUAUUUAGGUAGCGCCUCGUGAAUUCAUCUCCGGGGGUAGAGCACUGUUUCGGCAAGGGGGUCAUCCCGACUUACCAACCCGAUGCAAACUGCGAAUACCGGAGAAUGUUAUCACGGGAGACACACGGCGGGUGCUAACGUCCGUCGU